UACGUAGGGUGCAAGCGUUGUCCGGAAUUAUUGGGCGUAAAGAGCUCGUAGGCGGUUUGUCGCGUCGAAUGUGAAAACCCGGGGCUCAACCCCGGGCCUGCAUUCGAUACGGGCAGACUAGAGUUCGGUAGGGGAGUCUGGAAUUCCUGGUGUAGCGGUGAAAUACGCAGAUAUCAGGAGGAACACCGGUGGCGAAGGCGGGACUCUGGGCCGAUACUGACGCUGAGGAGCGAAAGCGUGGGGAGCAAACAGG
rnacentral:rRNA from 1 species